rnacentral:rRNA from 1 species
AAUGCUCCAGUGAGGUAAUUAAGGACGGUACGUUGUCCUUGUAACGGGGAUCCAGCAGGGUGGCCACCCAGUAAUCAGCACAAGUUAGAAUGUGGGCAACUAGGCAGUCGUUGCACAGGCACUUUGGUGACUCUAGAUAACCUUGGGCCAAUCGCACGUCCCUGUGACGGCGACGACUCAUUUGGAUGUCUGCCAUAUCAACUUUCUAUGGUACUUUCUGCGCCUACCAUGGUGACCACGGGUAACUGGAGAAUCAGAGUUUGAUUCUGGAG